rnacentral:lncRNA from 1 species
CGAAGGUCUGGCCUGGCCAUAGGAUGAACAGUGUCACCCUGGGCAGAGGGGAACUUGGAUGGAAAGUGAUGAUCCAGGCAGAGGGCCGAAGAGAGAAAGACACUGCUUGGUCUGCGAGCACGGAAAACAGACGCAAACCCUGGAUCGGCCUAACUCAGUCCGCCCCGCUGGCCACAUCGCGCCUGUGGGGUCACAGCGGACGCAGUUGAAAGGGCAGGGUCCUGGCGUGUGGAUGCAGGCGGGGUGCAGGGAAGACUAAAGGCGGGCCAGAGAGGACGUGAUGUUUCUCUCCAUCUCCUCCCGGCUUUCCGGGCUACACUGUUGCCACACAGUGAGGUUCCUCAACCGCGGAUUGAAAGGUUAGUAUCUUAUUUUUAAAGAUGAUGCAACCGUGAUGAGGGAAGUGGGUUAAUUUAGUUAAUAGCUGACACUUAGGAGUUCCUCCUC